AAGACCUUGCGCUUUUGGAGCGGCCGAUGUCUGAUUAGCUUGUUGGUGAGGUAAAAGCUUACCAAGGCUUCGAUCAGUAGCUGGUCUGAGAGGACGGCCAGCCACACUGGGACUGAGACACGGCCCAGACUCCUACGGGAGGCAGCAGUGGGGAAUUUUGGACAAUGGGGGCAACCCUGAUCCAGCCAUGCCGCGUGAGUGAAGAAGGCCUUCGGGUUGUAAAGCUCUUUCAGCCGGAACGAAACGGUUACGGUUAAUACCCGUGACUACUGACGGUACCGGAAGAAGAAGCACCGGCUAACUACGUGCCAGCAGCCGCGGUAAUACGUAGGGUGCAAGCGUUAAUCGGAAUUACUGGGCGUAAAGCGUGCGCAGGUGGUUUUGUAAGUCAGAUGUGAAKUCCCCGGGCUUAACCUGGAACU
rnacentral:rRNA from 1 species